rnacentral:rRNA from 1 species
GACGAACGCUGGCGGCGUGCUUAACACAUGCAAGUCGAACGGUGAAGCGCCUUCCUUUUUGGUGGGUGUGGAUGAGUGGCGAACGGGUGAGUAACACGUGAGUAACCUGCCCCCUUCUUCUGGAUAACCGCAUGAAAGUGUGGCUAAUACGGGAUAUUUUGGGUCUGUCGCAUGAUGGGUCUGGGAAAGAUAUUGUUUCGGUGGGGGAUGGGCUCGCGGCCUAUCAGCUUGUUGGUGGGGUGAUGGCCUACCAAGGCGGUGACGGGUAGCCGGCCUGAGAGGGUGGACGGUCACACUGGGACUGAGACACGGCCCAGACUCCUACGGGAGGCAGCAGUGGGGAAUAUUGCACAAUGGGCGCAAGCCUGAUGCAGCGACGCCGCGUGAGGGAUGGAGGCCUGCGGGUUGUGAACCUCUUUCGCCAGUGAAGCAGGCCUGCCUCGUUUGUGGGUGGGUUGACGGUAGCUGGAUAAGAAGCGCCGGCUAACUACGUG